rnacentral:rRNA from 1 species
AACGCGAAGAACCUUACCAGCUCUUGACAUCCCUGGACGGUACUCAGAGAUGGGUACCUCCCCGCAAGGGGCCAGGAGACAGGUGCUGCAUGGCUGUCGUCAGCUCGUGUCGUGAGAUGUUGGGUUAAGUCCCGCAACGAGCGCAACCCUCAUCUUCAGUUGCCAUCAGGUCAAGCUGGGCACUCUGAAGAAACUGCCGGUGACAAGCCGGAGGAAGGCGGGGAUGACGUCAAGUCCUCAUGGCCUUUAUGGGCUGGGCUACACACGUGCUACAAUGGCGGUGACAAUGGGAUGCGAAGGGGCGACCCUUGGCCAAUCUCAAAAAGCCGUCUCAGUUCGGAUUGUUCUCUGCAACUCGAGAGCAUGAAGCUGGAAUCGCUAGUAAUCGCGGAUCAGCACGCCGCGGUGAAUACGUUCCCGGGCCUUGUACACACCGCUAGUC